AUCCAGCUGACCAGUCCCAAAUGGGGUGAAACGAUCGUCCUGGAU
rnacentral:hammerhead_ribozyme from 1 species